CCCAAUUAACAGAGCCCAAGCACCAACCCACAAGCCCAAUUACAACCCAAACCCGAGGCCCAAAUUCGGAGCCCAAAUCAAAAAAAAAGAAACCUAAUCCCCCUAACCCUAGCCUAGCGCCGCACGUCCCUAGCAUCGCCACCCACCUGCUCCACCGCCUUGCAAACGUUGCCCACACGCCACCACCAACUCCUCUGGCACCUGCAAUCAAAAGAAAAAGAACAGAGCAGAGCAAGGCAGCAAGCAACAGAGCCACAUUUUCUUAAUAUUGUAAUCGGCUAUAAAGCCUAAAGGAGACCAGUUUUUUUAAA
rnacentral:lncRNA from 1 species